GACGAACGCUGGGGCGUGCUUAACACAUGCAAGUCGCACGGAAAGGCCCUGCUUUUGUGGGGUGCUCGAGUGGCGAACGGGUGAGUAACACGUGAGUAACCUGCCCUUGACUUUGGGAUAACUUCAGGAAACUGGGGCUAAUACCGGAUAGGAGCUCCUGCUGCAUGGUGGGGGUUGGAAAGUUUCGGCGGUUGGGGAUGGACUCGCGGCUUAUCAGCUUGUUGGUGGGGUAGUGGCUUACCAAGGCUUUGACGGGUAGCCGGCCUGAGAGGGUGACCGGCCACAUUGGGACUGAGAUACGGCCCAGACUCCUACGGGAGGCAGCAGUGGGGAAUAUUGCACAAUGGGCGGAAGCCUGAUGCAGCAACGCCGCGUGCGGGAUGACGGCCUUCGGGUUGUAAACCGCUUUCGCCUGUGACGAAGCGUGAGUGACGGUAAUGGGUAAAGAAGCACCGGCUAACUACGUG
rnacentral:rRNA from 1 species